UACGUAGGGGGCGAGCGUUGUCCGGAGUUACUGGGCGUAAAGGGCAUGCAGGCGGUCGGACGCGUUUCGGGUGACAGCGGGUGGCUUAACUACCCGAGUGGUCGAAAGACGGUUUGACUUGAGGACGCGAGAGGGACACGGAAUUCCGGGUGGAGUGGUGAAAUGCGUAGAGAUCCGGAGGAACACCGAAGGCGAAGGCAGUGUCCUGGCGCGUAACUGACGCUGAGGUGCGAAGGCCAGGGGAGCGAACAGG
rnacentral:rRNA from 1 species